rnacentral:SRP_RNA from 1 species
CCGCGCUAAGUGGGGUGCUGGCGGUACCCUGAACCGGCAAUCCGCCUUAGCCGGACCGAAUUCCGUCGUUGAGGUCUGGAUUCGCAGAACUGGCCGUGGAAGACGGCGUUGA